CUGUAGCUCAGCUGGAUAGAGCAACGGCCUUCUAAGCCGUGGGUCGGGGGUUCGAAUCCCUUCAGG
rnacentral:tRNA from 8 species